rnacentral:rRNA from 1 species
GUAGAGAGAAGCUUGCUUCUCUUGAGAGCGGCGGACGGGUGAGUAAUGCCUAGGAAUCUGCCUGGUAGUGGGGGAUAACGUUCGGAAACGGACGCUAAUACCGCAUACGUCCUACGGGAGAAAGCAGGGGACCUUCGGGCCUUGCGCUAUCAGAUGAGCCUAGGUCGGAUUAGCUAGUUGGUGAGGUAAUGGCUCACCAAGGCGACGAUCCGUAACUGGUCUGAGAGGAUGAUCAGUCACACUGGAACUGAGACACGGUCCAGACUCCUACGGGAGGCAGCAGUGGGGAAUAUUGGACAAUGGGCGAAAGCCUGAUCCAGCCAUGCCGCGUGUGUGAAGAAGGUCUUCGGAUUGUAAAGCACUUUAAGUUGGGAGGAAGGGCAGUUACCUAAUACGUGAUUGUUUUGACGUUACCGACAGAAUAAACACCGGCUAACUCUGUGCCAGCAGCCGCGGUAA